rnacentral:rRNA from 1 species
CACCUGCACUAUUUGACGUUACCUACAGAAGAAGCACCGGCUAACUCCGUGCCAGCAGCCGCGGUAAUACGGGAGGGUGCGAGACGUUAAGUACGGUAAUUACGUGGGACGUAAAGCGCAUGCAGGCGGCCUAGUUAAGUCAGAUGUAGAAACGGCCCGGGGACCUUUAACCGUACGGUAAGUUGCUAUUUAGUAAACGUGGCGAGGCUAGAGUCUUGUAGAGGGGGGUAGGAAUUUCAGGUGUAGCGGUGAAAUGCGUAGAGAUCUGAAGGAAUACCAGUGGCGAAGGCGGCCCCCUGGACAAAGACUGACGCUCAGAUGCGAAAGCGUGGGGAGCAAACAGGAUUAGAUACCCUGGUAG